AUGGUCAACUGGAAACAAUGUUGUUCGCCAAAAAAACUUGGAGGCCUAGGGAUCAAAGACAUUGCCCUCUUUAGCAGAUCGCUACGUCUUCGGUGGCUUUGGUAUGAGUGGGACUCACUGCAACGUCCAUGGAAAGGAACUCCAGUACCAUGUGACCAAAUAGAUAGAAAACUCUUUGCGGCUUGCACAGAGAUUACCAUUGGUAAUGGACAAACUGCACUUUUUUGGCAUGAUAGAUGGCUGCAGGGUAAUGCCCCGAAAGAUAUUGCACCAGAGCUCUUCUCAUUGGCCUGGAGAAAAAAAUUGAAGGUGGCUGAGGCUCUUGCUGGGGAAAGAUGGAUGCGCGGAAUCCAAAGAAUGUCAACAGAGACCCAAAUCUUACAGUUCAUAAAGCUUUGUGAAUUGAUGCAGACAAUACAACUUUCAACCUCCCAUGACUCAAUAGUCUGGAAGCGCUCCAACAAUGGAAACUACACUGCUAAAUCUGCUUAUGAAGUUCAAUUCAUUGGCCGAAUCCCACAACAGCAGCUAGAAGUGGUUUGGAAGGCAAAGACCGAAGGGAAAGCUCUUACUGCAACCUCCAUCAAUAUGUGGUGGCGCAAGCUGAAUUCAGUUGGGCCCAAGGAAAUCAAGAGAACCCAGGUUAGGUUUGCGAUGUAUAUGGCCUGGAACUUAUGGAAGGAACGAAAUCGCCGUGUCUUCCAGGCCACUAGUACACAACCUCCAGUUUUGUUGCAAAUGGUUAAAGAUGAUGUCGGCCUCUUGGAGGAGGCCUUUCGGGAAUAA
rnacentral:rRNA from 1 species